rnacentral:rRNA from 1 species
UACGAAGGGGGCUAGCGUUGCUCGGAAUCACUGGGCGUAAAGGGUGCGUAGGCGGGUCUUUAAGUCAGGGGUGAAAUCCUGGAGCUCAACUCCAGAACUGCCUUUGAUACUGAAGAUCUUGAGUUCGGGAGAGGUGAGUGGAACUGCGGGUGUAGAGGUGAAAUUCGUAGAUAUUCGCAAGAACACCAGUGGCGAAGGCGGCUCACUGGCCCGAUACUGACGCUGAGGCACGAAAGCGUGGGAGCAAACAG